UACGUAGGGGCCGAGCGUUGUCCGGAUUUAUUGGGCGUAAAGAGCGUGUAGGCGGCCAGGUAGGUCUGCUGUGAAAACUCGAGGCUCAACCUCGAGACGUCGGCGGAAACCAUCUGGCUAGAGUCCGGAAGAGGAGAGUGGAAUUCCUGGUGUAGCGGUGAAAUGCGCAGAUAUCAGGAGGAACACCGGUGGCGAAGGCGGGUCUCUGGGCAGUAACUGACGCUGAGGAGCGAAAGCGUGGGGAGCGAACAGG
rnacentral:rRNA from 1 species